AAUGAAAUGCCUGAUUAAAGGGUUAUCUUGAUAGGAUAAAAUAUGUAAUAAUUUUACUUUCAUUA
rnacentral:tRNA from 1 species